rnacentral:rRNA from 1 species
GUGAAGAUGCAGUGUACCCGCGGCAAGACGGAAAGACCCCGUGAACCUUUACUAUAGCUUGACACUGAACAUUGAGCCUUGAUGUGUAGGAUAGGUGGGAGGCUUAGAAGUGUGGACGCCAGUCUGCAUGGAGCCGACCUUGAAAUACCACCCUUUAAUGUUUGAUGUUCUAACGUUGACCCGUAAUCCGGGUUGCGGACAGUGUCUGGUGGGUAGUUUGACUGGGGCGGUCUCCUCCUAAAGAGUAACGGAGGAGCACGAAGGUUGGCUAAUCCUGGUCGGACAUCAGGAGGUUAGUGCAAUGGCAUAAGCCAGCUUGACUGCGAGCGUGACGGCGCGAGCAGGUGCGAAAGCAGGUCAUAGUGAUCCGGUGGUUCUGAAUGGAAGGGCCAUCGCUCAACGGAUAAAAGGUACUCCGGGGAUAACAGGCUGAUACCGCCCAAGAGUUCAUAUCGACGGCGGUGUUUGGCACCUCGAUGUCGGCUCAUCACAUCCUGGGGCUGAAGUAGGUCCCAAGGGUAUGGCUGUUCGCCAUUUAAAGUGGUACGCGAGCUGGGUUUAGAACGUCGUGAGACAGUUCGGUCCCUAUCUGCCGUGGGCGCUGGAGAACUGAGGGGGGCUGCUCCUAGUACGAGAGGACCGGAGUGGACGCAUCACUGGUGUUCGGGUUGUCAUGCCAAUGGCACUGCCCGGUAGCUAAAUGCGGAAGAGAUAAGUGCUGAAAGCAUCUAAGCACGAAACUUGCC